AUGGCGAGACUCCCGAUGUUCGUCGCCUUUGCCGUCCGCCGCGCGGCCAACGCCACCACCGCCGCGGGGAAGGCCAUCUGGGACGGGAAGGGGCUGCUGCUGGUCGGCGGCGCCACGGUCGCCGCCUGGGCCUUCCGCGCCGACCUCCGCCGCCUGGCGCACCGCCUGGCCCACCGCCUGUUCUCAGACGACGGGUUCUCCGGUCGACUCGACUGGGGUCUCAGGUACAGGCUCUUCUUCUCCUCCUCCUCCUCCUCGGCGUCGAGCGCUCCCUUCUCCUCUUCCUCCUCCCCUCCCUCUGUUUGGCAGGGCACAAUACUUGAGCGCAAUCAUUUUGUGCAGGGUUAA
rnacentral:rRNA from 1 species